ACGAAAAAUAAUUUUUCGUGGCGUACGGGUGAGUAAUACACAGGAAUCUGCCUUUUAGUUCAGGAUAAAAUUCUGAAUAACAAAAGAAAACUUUUCGCUAAAAGAUGAGCCUGUGUAGGAUUAGGUAGUUGGUAUUUGGGUAAAGGCCUACCAAGCCUAUGAUCCUUAGCUGUUCUGAGAGGUUGUACAGCCACACUGGGACUGAGACAAGGCCCAGGCUUCAUUUGGAGCCAGCAGUGAGGAAUUUUGGACAAUGAGCGAAAGCUUGAUCCAGCAAUACUACAUGAGUGAUGAAGGCUUUCAAGUUGUAAAACUCUUUGGUUGAGGAGGAUAAUGACAGUACUCAACAAAAUAGCCCCGGCUAACUUCGUGCCAGCAGCCGCGGUAAUACGAAGGGGGCGAGCGUUAUCCGGAAUGACUGGGCGUAAAGGGUCCGUAGGCAGCAUUUUUUGUUAGAGGUUAAAUAAAAAAGCUUAACUUUUUUCCGCUUCUAAAACGUAAAUGCUUUGAGUUUGAUAGGAGAUAGCAGAAUUUCACAUGGAGGGGUGAUAUCCGUAGAUAUGUGAAGGAAUACCAGAGGCGAAGGCGGCUAUCUAGAUCAAUACUGACGUUGAGGGACGAAAGCAUGGGGAGCAAACAGGAUUAGAUACCCUGGUAGUCCAUGCCCUAAAAGAUGAGUGCUCGUGCUUAGAUAUUUUUAGGCACUUAGUUAACACGUUAAGCACUCCGCCUGGGGAGUACGACCGCAAGGUUGGAACUCAAAGGAAUUGACGGGGGCCUAUACAAGUGGUGGAGCAUGUGGUUUAAUGCGACAAUACGCGCGAAACCUUACCAGUUCUUGACAUAAAAAAGAAAAAGUUUGAAAGGACAAUUUUGAAGAUUUUUACAGGUGCUGCAUGGCUGUCGUCAGCUCGUGUCGUGAGAUGUUAGGUUAACUCCUUUUAACGGGCCGAAACCCCUUUUCUUAGUUGCCACUUAAAUUUAA
rnacentral:rRNA from 1 species